CCAUCACGGCUGCGUGUAUAUCAUCCACCUGGAGGCGAGAAGAAUAUGAGAACACAUCCGAGAUCGCGAAAUACCGAAUUACGGCAUCUUGAGGCUUAGACCUUUGCGAGGUCCCGCGGCCCGCCUCCUCUACCGCCGCCUCUACCGCCUCCUCUACCGCUGGGCAGAACCGUUCCUGACCCACCACGAGGACGAGCUGAAUUCUAAGUGCUUAAGGGUUUUCAUCCUCGGUGAGCACGUCUCCUUACAGCCACGUAGCGCGUGCUACGCUGUGUGCCACUUUCCUCCUGCAGGACCACGGGGGCACUGCACGAAUCCUUCUCUCCUGAGAGCCUUGGGUUCCCCGUGUUAUAGGUGGAUGAGCCGUGCCGCACAAAUGGGCGAGUUUAAAACGAGGCGGCAGUCUAGGUUAAAGGAGCAGAUGGGUCCCUAUCUACUUGUGGAAAAAUGAUUCUCUUCUAUCUUGGAAAGUCGUCCUCUGAGCCUGGGAACCGAGGCGACGCAGAGGAAGGUGCACCACGCAGCACGCCCAUACUCCUAGGCGCUCAGGCAUCGUUCGGAGUCUAAGGCUCCAACGGCAUUCGACACAUUAACAAAAUGCAGAGAACGACACAACACCCACGUACCCAACGCGCAAUGUGACGAACGUCUGUAUGUGCAGAUCUUAUUCUCGAAGAGCAAGGAUUACAUACUGGAUUCUAAAACGGGUCCAGCAACAGACGAGGACACUGAAUAUCACUAUAAAUACACUACGAUUUCCUCGAACAGUGUGUACACUCCAUUCGCACAUCCCUGAUAAAGGCCCCUUUAAAAUCCGAUCGCUCUACCCAAAUCGAGGGGUGACGUGGUCAUUUCGUGCUGUCCUGAAAUGGCUGGUCUGCUCUCAUCUUUCCAGAACAGCCGGACUCCUCCCGAUGGCGUACUUUUUUGUAUCUGGAUAUAAUGAAUUUCAUUCUAUUGCAUUUGGCCUCUUUCCAUUUUCCCAAAGUUAGUCUAAAUUCAGUCUUUCCGUCUGAAAACAAUUUAAAAGUUGUACAUGAAAAGUUAAACAGAUAAAGCUAAGUAUCCCUUAACUACCAUUAAUAUAAUCUCCCUCUCCAGAAGUAAACACUGUACUGUUUGACAUGUUCUUCCAAAUCUUAAAAUUACUUAUAAUCCUGACAUGUGUGUGUAAUAGUAAAGAAUUUGGCCUUG